rnacentral:misc_RNA from 1 species
GGAUAUGCAGGAAGGGGUGCUCCUAGGUAGGUGUAGGGGUUGUGUUUGUUCGCGAGAAUGGAUUCCUCGUCAAGUCAGUUUGGGGGGUGUGGACACACUUGCGCGAAUUCGGGUAACGGCUACAAGGGAGAAAUCGAAAGGAAACUGUACCCGACCAGGGAUGGACGUAAACUCGUAAGCUACCGAGGGUAGGGAUAAUCGUCCAGGUCUUAUUGUGAAACAAAAAAGCGCCCCGCCACAGCAGGCGGGUUGGUUCCUCUGUCGUCGCCGGGGAGCUCUUGGCGAGGAGACCUUAGGAUAAGUUGCUAAAACAAAGGGGAGGGGAGGAUCGACCCGUUCAGUAAAAUUCCGAAGAAAGACUGUUGGCAGCAGGUGGAGACCCUUCUUUUCUUUGGCCCUCUUCAAAAGGAAAUGCGGGGGCGGGCUCGGCAGAGGGUUCGAGAAUAGGGUAGGGUCCUGUCCUUAAGAUUCAGAUAAAAAAAGAGUUCCAAACCUUUAUGCAUGCACCUCCGUAUAAGUGCUGCGUACAAGUUCCGGCCAGGAAAAUUGGGAAAGAUCAAACCAAUUUGACCCGCUCACAUCACAGUAGUAGUAGCGUAAAGGCCGUAAGUCGGGGGGUGGCCAAAACAUAAGGCUAUUACUUUCACAUCUCCCUCUCUCUAUCUAUAGAUAGAGAGAGAUCCGCUGCAUGAGCAACCCGACUGUGCGUUACAUGUGCUCUACAGGCCGCACUCUAUCUUUCUUCCCAACGAGCCCAUUUUUUCUUUUGAUUUGGAAGACGGGCCUUGCGUUCGGUUCGAAAGGCAUGGUUUUCAGUAUGUCUCCAGAUAGGGCCCCCACUAGUCCGGCUAGCUAGUGAGCGGUUCUUUCGGGCGAGAAGCAGGCCGGGCCCU